rnacentral:rRNA from 1 species
GCCUAUUAGUGGGGGACAACAUCUCGAAAGGGAUGCUAAUACCGCAUACGUCCUACGGGAGAAAGCAGGGGAUCUUCGGACCUUGCGCUAAUAGAUGAGCCUAAGUCAGAUUAGCUAGUUGGUGGGGUAAAGGCCCACCAAGGCGACGAUCUGUAACUGGUCUGAGAGGAUGAUCAGUCACACCGGAACUGAGACACGGUCCG